rnacentral:rRNA from 1 species
UACGUAGGUGGCAAGCGUUGCUCGGAAUUACUGGGCGUAAAGGGCGCGUAGGCGGCCUUCUAAGUCGAACGUGAAAUCCCCGGGCUCAACCCGGGAACUGCGUCCGAUACUGGGAGGCUUGAAUCCGGGAGAGGGAUGUGGAAUUCCAGGUGUAGCGGUGAAAUGCGUAGAUAUCUGGAGGAACACCGGUGGCGAAGGCGGCAUCCUGGACCGGUAUUGACGCUGAGGCGCGAAAGCCAGGGGAGCAAACGGG